GCAAGAUAUGCUCUGAGAUUCCUCACUGUUCUCUGAGAGAGAAGAGCUACUGGGCCCAUCCAAAAGACAGUCUGCACCUGGAACUCGGCACCCAGGAGGUCACCCCUGCAGGACCUGUAGAGGAGCCUGUGUCCUGGUGGCCUUAGGUGGCUGCAUUACUGGAUCGAGAUGACCACAGCCACCCCUCUGGGGGAUACCACCUUCUUCUCACUGAACAUGACCACCAGGGGAGAAGACUUCCUGUAUAAGAGUAAGGUUCUGGAGCCAUUGUUGCUGCCGUUGUGGUGGUUGUCAUCAUCAUCUUCACCGUGGUUCUGAUCCUGCUGAAGAUGUACAACAGGAAAAUGAGGACGAGGCGGGAACUAGAGCCCAAGGGCCCCAAGCCAACCGCCCCUUCUGCCGUGGGCCCAAACAGCAACGGCAGCCAACACCCAGCAACUGUGACCUUCAGUCCUGUUGACGUCCAGGUGGAGACGCGAUGACCUCUACCCUGGCGCUAUCUCCACCACUGUCCAAAGAGCCUCUCCAGAGUCAAGACCCAGAGGCACACUCUCUGGCAGCUUCACAAUGAGCUUCUUCUGGUCAGGUCGACAGAGACAUCUUUGACGCAAUCUCUGAUGCUUCCAGCAAUCCUCAACCUUGUCUGCCCUGCCCUACCCCAACUGUGUCCACAUCCCUGCCGCCACCCCACCAAAAAGCUGCAGAACAUUCUUUUGUCAUCUGAUGAGGUAGAGCUAUGUUGGGAAUCCACCAAUGUGGGCUUGGCUUUCCCCCACACUGUAGUUAGACAGAUAGACAGAUAGCCCAGGAGCCAGGUGUCAGGGAGCACUGCUGAGAGUAUCACAAUAGGAUCUGUCACGGGGUUCAUAUCAGAUGAAGCGCCGUAUCCACUGCUUCACAGAGCAAAACAUUCAAUCCCAUAACCAGGCACAGGGGAACUAACUUGGACUAACUAACCAGAAAACCUUGUUAACGUAUAACUUGUUCCAGUACUACAUCUCUGCCUGCUGGCUCAUGACAAUUGCUCAGCACAUUUUCCCCUCUUGAAGAAAGGUUGCAAGAAGAACUAAAUUAUCCUCAAAAGAUUUCUGCUUCAUUAGUAAAGAGUCAGUGAUGGAAUAGGGUGACUCUGCAGAAUAGUGGCCUCUAGGGUAGGAGCUUGUUGUGUUGUCCGUGGGCCUGGAAUGAUCCUGGUGGCUGAUCAGGGUCCUUCUCCCACUCUGGGCUGUAUCAACCCUGACGGUCUUGGUCUUUGGCUCCCCUUUAUCUGGAUUCUGAGCACGCUGACUGUCCUGUUAAUGCCUUCCCUCCAAGGACCAGUAUUUGGAGAUUAAUUAGAUUACAACUCUAUCUAUGUUACCUUUGUCCUUCCUGGUCACCUUGCAGAUUCAAGACAUGUUCAAAGCAACACAUUCACAACCCAUUUCUAUUCUAUAGCAACCUCGUCUGUGACUCCUUAGCCUGGAGAACAAUCUACCAAGAAGAGAAAGUAUCUGGAAUUAAGAAGUCCUACCAUCCAAGCCCUACUUCCUGGUUGUGUGGCCUUGGAAAAGUGACUCAACCUCUUUAUAUUCAGUUUCCUAACCAUGAAGUGGAAAUGAUAACACCUGCCUCAUUGGGGCACUAUAACAAGUGAAGGACUUAGGAAAACAUCUGGAGUAUAGCGCCUGGCACCCAGGAGAUGCUUAAUAAAUGGGAACCAGGAUUCUUUUUCUUUUCUUUUUUCUUUUCUUUUUUUUUUUUUUUUGAGACAGAGCCUCAAUCUGUCACCUGGGCUGGAGUGCAGUGGCACGCUCACAGCUCGCUGCAGCCUUGAACUCCUGGGCUCAAGGGAUGCUCCCUCCUCAGCCUCCAGAGUAGCUGGGACUACAGGUAUGUGUCACCUCACCAGGCUAAUUUUUUUAUUUUUUAUUUUUGUAGAGAUGGGGUCUCGCUGUGUUGCCCAGGCUGGUCUUGAACCCCUGGCCUCAAGUGAUCCUUCUGCUUUGGCCUCCCAAAGUGCUGGGAUUACAGGCAUGGACUAUGGUGCCCAGCCUAGGAGCCAACAUUAUUAUUAUUAUAGGCUUUUUUUUCAAUUGCAAGAUAGACAUUUCUUCACAUUUUAAUGAUUCUGAAAUCAGAACAUAUCUUGCAAUUGAUGGGUUCAUUAAUAUAAUUGUAGUUCUUUACUUCCUCUCAAAAACUUGUGAUCUUAUAAUUGAUGGCAUCUUGGAAACAAGGUAAUAAAUCUCUAUUCUGUUAAAGAAAGUGACACACUUUGACAUUUAACCUCAAAUUUUAGGAGUCUCUCCCUCUUGGGGUCAGAAAUCCCUUCUGAGGCCAGGUGUCGUGGCUCAUGCCUGUAAUCCCAGCACUUUGGGAGGCUGAGGCAGGCGGGUCACUUGAGGUCAGGAGUUUGAGACCAGCCUGGCCAACAUGGCAAAACCCUGUCUCUACUAAUAAUACAAAAUUUAGCUGGGCAUGGUGGCAUGCACCUGUAAUCCCACUACUAGGGAGGCUGUGGCAUGAGAAUCACUUGAACCUGGAAGGCAGAGGUUGCAGUGAGCCAAGAUCGUGCCACUGCACUCCAGCCUGGGCAACAGAGUGAAACUGCAUCUCAAAAAAAGAAAAAUCCAUUAUGAGGGGAAAUCAAGAGUCAGGGAGGUAAGAGGUCUUACCCAGGGUCACACAGCUCAUGAUAUCCCACUGUAAAAAUACUCUGUGGAAUAGCUCUGGAGAAAUACUGGCACAUUCUUCCUCUCUGGUCAUUAUUUCUUCCUACUGUGUUUAAAUAUCCACCAAGUGUCAAGGACUUUGUAAGAUGCUUUCACAUAAAUUAUCUCAUAGGAUUAAAUUUUCCCAAAAACCUGGGGAGGAAUUAUUUUUUCCAAAACAGAUGAUAAUUUCUGAUUCAAAGAGAAAGAAAACAAAGUACUUUUCCAAAGUCACACAGCUAGUAAGUCACAAAGACAAGACUCAAAACCAGGUCUCUUGACUCCAAAGUCUGUCUUUUUUGUGAAGUCACACUCCUCUGCUGGCCCAGCUCAAAGCAGCACAGAUUCUUUAUGGGCUGAACAAGGGGAGUACGGGUUUGUCCAUGUGUUUGAGUAGAGAUCAGGGUUCUGGCUUCCAGGCUGAAGGUGAGGGAAAAGCCACUUCUAACUCCUUUGGGCAUCCAUGCUCACGGCCAAAAGAGCCCCUUCUCAACACAUCCAAGUGCUAAGGAUUCCUGCUUCAUUCAAGCUACUACUUAGGCCCAAGGAGCAAGGGGUAGAAUGGCAUCUAACCAGAGCAAAGCCAUUUCUUUGAGGGCUCAAGCCAUAAACAAAUAUGCUCCCCUAAACAUAUUCGGCUUGAAAAAGUUGUUUUGGGGCAGCUGUGGUGGUGCACCCCUGUAAUCCCAGCCCUUUGGGAGUCAGAGGCAGUCAGUCACUUGAGCCCAGGAGUUCAAGACUAGCCUGGGCAACACGGCGAAACCUCGUCUCUACAAAAAAUACAAAAAUUAACCAAGCGUGGUAGUGCACGCCUGUAUUCCCAGCUACUUGGGAGGCUGAGGUAGGAGGAUGGCUUGAGCCUGGGAGGCAGAGGUUGCAGUGAGCUGAGAUCGCGCCACUGCACUCCAGCCGGGGUGACAGAGCCAGACCCUGUCUCAAAGCAUAUUUCAACCCUAAAACUAGACUCUUCUGCCCACAGUGCAGUCUUCUAAGGGUUACCCUCUGGUAUAUGUUCUUUUGCUAAAUGAAGGCUUGGAGUUGGAGGGAAGAAGGGGAGAUGGAGUGGUGAGGGCGAGUCAAAUAAAAGGAUUUGAGUGUCUCGUUUUUGACUAAUGAAGAUGAUUCAAUAAACAUCCUGUAAGAAGGGUUCCUAUGUGCAAGUUGAGGUGCUACUAAGUACAUUAAGACACAAUUGCUGCUCUCAAGGAGUUAGCAGCUGGUCUCAUGCAGGGAUCUCACCACGUGGUUAUGUAUUUUGUUUCUGAUGAGGUGCCUUUCUUAGCAGAUGCUGCCUUAUUUGGCCACUGAAACAAUCAAAGCUAAUAAAUGCUUAAAGAAAAAUAUCUGACAAUAAAAAGGUUUAAAUCAAA
rnacentral:lncRNA from 1 species